AUUCUGGUUGAUCCUGCCAGAGGCUAUUGCUAUCAGGGUUUGACUAAGCCAUGCGAGUCGAGAGGUGAAAGACCUCGGCAUACUGCUCAGUAACACGUGGAUAAUCUGCCCUCAGGUGAGGAAUAAUCCCGGGAAACUGGGGCUAAUGCCUCAUAGGAGACAGGUGCUGGAAUGCUCUGUCUCUGAAAGGCCCGCCGCCUGAGGAUGAGUCUGCGUCCGAUUAGGUAGUUGUUGGGGUAACGGCCCAACAAGCCUUUGAUCGGUACGGGUUGUGGGAGCAAGAGCCCGGAGAUGGAUUCUGAGACAUGAAUCCAGGCCCUACGGGGCGCAGCAGGCGCGAAAACUUUACAAUGCGAGCAAUCGUGAUAAGGAAACCCUGAGUGCCUGUCAAUGCAGGCUGUUCUGGUGUCUAACACACACCAGGAGAAAGGGCGGGGCAAGACCGGUGCCAGCCGCCGCGGUAAUACCGGCUGCUCGAGUGAUAGCCACUUUUACUGGGCUUAAAGCGUUCGUAGCUUGGUCGUUAAGUCUCUGGGGAAAUCUUUUGGCUCAACCAAAAGGCGUCUCAGGGAAACUGGCGACCUAGGAACCGGGAGAGGUAAGACGUACUUCGGGGGUAGGAGUGAAAUCUUGUAAUCCCCGAGGGACGACCGAUGGCGAAGGCAUCUUACCAGAACGGCUUCGACAGUGAGGGACGAAAGCUGGGGGAGCAAACCGGAUUAGAUACCCGGGUAGUCCCAGCCGUAAACGAUGUGCGUUAGGUGUGUCAGUGACCACGAGUCGCUGAGGUGCCGAAGGGAAACCGUGAAACGCACCGCCUGGGAAGUACGGUCGCAAGGCUGAAACUUAAAGGAAUUGGCGGGGGAGCACCACAACGGGUGGAGCCUGCGGUUUAAUUGGAUUCAACGCCGGACAACUCACCGGAUACGACAGCGGAAUGAUAGCCGGGCUGAAGACUCUGCUUGACUAGCUGAGAGGAGGUGCAUGGCCGUCGUCAGUUCGUACUGUGAAGCAUCCUGUUAAGUCAGGCAACGAGCGAGACCCACGCCAACAGUUGCCAGCAUGGUCUCCGGACUGAUGGGGACACUGUUGGGACCGCCUCUGCUAAAGGGGAGGAAGGAAUGGGCAACGGUAGGUCAGCAUGCCCCGAAUUAUCCGGGCUACACGCGGGCUACAAUGGAUGGGACAAUGGGUUUCGACACCGAAAGGUGAAGGUAAUCUCCUAACCCCACCCGUAGUUCGGAUUGCGGGCUGCAACUCGCCCGCAUGAAGCUGGAAUCCGUAGUAAUCGCGUCUCACGAUGGCGCGGUGAAUAUGUCCCUGCUCCUUGCACACACCGCCCGUCAAACCACCCGAGUGGGGUCUGGAUGAGGCGGCAGUUUAUGCUGCUGUCGAAUCUAGGUUCCGCAAGGGGGGUUAAGUCGUAACAAGGUAGCCGUAGGGGAAUCUGCGGCUGGAUCACCUCCUAAU
rnacentral:rRNA from 1 species